rnacentral:rRNA from 1 species
UACGUAGGGGGCGAGCGUUGUCCGGAGUUACUGGGCGUAAAGGGCGUGCAGGCGGUGGUGCGCGUUUUGUGUGACAGCGCAAGGCUUAACUUUGCGAGGAUACGAAAGACGGCAGCACUUGAGAGCGCGAGAGGGACACGGAAUUCCGGGUGGAGUGGUGAAAUGCGUAGAGAUCCGGAGGAACACCAGCGGCGAAGGCGGCAUCCUGGACUGGUACUGACGCUCAUGAGCGAAAGCGUGGGGAGCGAUCCGG